rnacentral:rRNA from 2 species
CCGAACCGACUAAUGUUGAAAAAUUAGCGGAUGACCUGUGGCUGGGGGUGAAAGGCCAAUCAAACCGGGAGAUAGCUGGUUCUCCCCGAAAGCUAUUUAGGUAGCGCCUCGUGAAUUCAUCUCCGGGGGUAGAGCACUGUUUCGGCUAGGGGGCCAUCCCGGCUUACCAACCCGAUGCAAACUGCGAAUACCGGAGAAUGUUAUCACGGGAGACACACGGCGGGUGCUAACGUCCGUCGUGAAGAGGGAAACAACCCAGACCGCCAGCUAAGGUCCCAAAGUCAUGGUUAAGUGGGAAACGAUGUGGGAAGGCCCAGACAGCCAGGAUGUUGGCUUAGAAGCAGCCAUCAUUUAAAGAAAGCGUAAUAGCUCACUGGUCGAGUCGGCCUGCGCGGAAGAUGUAACGGGGCUAAACCAUGCACCGAAGCUGCGGCAGCGACACUGUGUGUUGUUGGGUAGGGGAGCGUUCUGUAAGCC